GCGGCAUACCUUACUCGUGCCUCGUUUGCUGCGCUUGUGAUGUUUCCGAUCAUUGAACAUUCGUCGGAAGUUCAUUUGCAUUUUGUAAUUUACCUGUAAUGUGUUUUAAUUAGAAGUGAAUUUAAAUUAUUAUGAGAAAAUAGCUAUGCAAUAUUUUCCAAGUGAAUGCAUUUUGUUGCAACGCUUGUGAACGAUAUUUAUAGUGGUGCAAGUUAACAUUUGCAGAGAUUUGUCAAAUUGCGUUUUUUGUUUUUUUGGAGUUUGGGUUAAACUUCUACUUUUAUUUGGUGACUUACCUGCGUAGACAAAUCUCUGUCGUCUACUGCGUGUCGGCUAUAACUAAGGCGGCGGUGCUGUAAAAUAAAAAUGCAAUUUACAAGCUCCUCGGCAAGCAGAUGGUGUAUUUUUGCAUCUGUAAGAUCCUUCUUCGACGGAUUGUAGUCCAACUCAUGCAUAUCAAGAUUUCGUGAGCAACUAUUGUCCAGAUUGGUAAGGCUUGGACUAAUUUAUAGAGAACGAACAAAAAUUUCAAAAUUUGUUUUAAGUUAUCAAAAAUUAAUAUUUUGAAUGUUUCAAAAGCAUGGAAAAGGCACUCAAUAUGUAUUUUGUUUUCAAAACCUGUAUUAAAAUUGUGUAAAAUAUUAAUUUAUUUUUAAAAAAAAUUAUUUAUUAUAUAAUCAUUUUUAAUGACUUAACUUACAAAAGCGUAAUAGAUAAGUGUUACCGUUAUUGAAAAUUGUUUAAAUUUAGUAAUAUAUGCUUAUUGCACUCGUACCUAAACCAUGCCUUUUGAAAAUCCAUAGUUUUAAUGAGAUGAAUUUGACAUAAGUAGGUAAAUAAUAUAGACAACCAAUAGGCAAUGUGUGAGGUGAAAGGAUAUCUUAAGUGUUCAACGUAAAGUUAAAGUUCAAGUAGUUCAUACAAUAUUUAUUCAAAAACAUAAUAAAGUAAACGAAUUUUAGUUACAGUGCAUAUUUUA